rnacentral:lncRNA from 11 species
CACAAUCACUGUGAAUUAUAAAGACAGCUAACAACUGGACUGAAGGUGAGUACUGUAUGUUUGUUUUUGUUUGGGUAGACACAGCCAGUGGUGAGGAAUGCUGAGAACUGCAGUCCAACAACAUCUGGAUAACUGCACAAUUCCUAUCUCUGUAUAGUGAAUAGUCUACUGUUUUAUGCAUUAUUAUGGAUUACACAAAAGAUUGGGGAGCACAACCUGAAGAAAAUUGCUUCACUUGGUGAAAAGUGAAAGGUAAAGCUCUUGGGAGUUUGCCCAUGGUGGUACUCUUUGCUUUGCUUGUGGGCAUUUGU